UCCCCUCAUUUUGCAACAGGUGUCAUCCCGUUCCACGGCUUCUCGAUGUACGUGGCGCCGCUGUGCUUCCUGUACAACGAACCGUCCAAGCUGUACAGCGUCUUCAGGGAGAUGUACACUCGCUACUUCUUCCGACUGCACUCGGUGUCCUCGGCGUGCUCGGGUAUCGUUUCUCUGUGUCUACUUUUUGAGCGGCUCCUGCAAACGCACCUGCCGCAGCUCUUCUACCACCUUCGACAGAUCGGAGCGCAGCCGUAAGUUGUUCAUUCAUCACUUGAGGUGAAAUAUAUUUCGUUA